rnacentral:rRNA from 1 species
AGUGAACGCUGGCGGUAGGCCUAACACAUGCAAGUCGAACGGCAGCACAGUAAGAGCUUGCUCUUACGGGUGGCGAGUGGCGGACGGGUGAGGAAUACAUCGGAAUCUACUUUUUCGUGGGGGAUAACGUAGGGAAACUUACGCUAAUACCGCAUACGACCUACGGGUGAAAGCAGCGGAUCUUCGGACCUUGCGCGAUUGAUUGAGCCGAUGUCGGAUUAGCUAGUUGGCGGGGUAAAGGCCCACCAAGGCGACGAUCCGUAGCUGGUCUGAGAGGAUGAUCAGCCACACUGGAACUGAGACACGGUCCAGACUCCUACGGGAGGCAGCAGUGGGGAAUAUUGGACAAUGGGCGCAAGCCUGAUCCAGCCAUACCGCGUGGGUGAAGAAGGCCUUCGGGUUGUAAAGCCCUUUUGUUGGGAAAGAAAAGCAGCAGGUUAAUACCCCGCUGUUCUGACGGUACCCAAAGAAUAAGCACCGGCUAACUUCGUG